rnacentral:rRNA from 1 species
AGUGAACGCUGGCGGUAGGCCUAACACAUGCAAGUCGAACGGCAGCACAGUAAGAGCUUGCUCCUACGGGUGGCGAGUGGCGGACGGGUGAGGAAUACAUCGGAAUCUACUUUUUCGUGGGGGAUAACGUAGGGAAACUUCCGCUAAUACCGCAUACGACCUACGGGUGAAAGCAGGGGAUCUUCGGACCUUGCGCGAUUGAAUGAGCCGAUGUCGGAUUAGCUAGUUGGCGGGGUAAAGGCCCACCAAGGCGACGAUCCGUAGCUGGUCUGAGAGGAUGAUCAGCCACACUGGAACUGAGACACGGUCCAGACUCCUACGGGAGGCAGCAGUGGGGAAUAUUGGACAAUGGGCGCAAGCCUGAUCCAGCCAUACCGCGUGAGUGAAGAAGGCCUUCGGGUUGUAAAGCCCUUUUGUUGGGAAAGAAAAGCAGCAGGUUAAUACCCCGCUGUUCUGACGGUACCCAAAGAAUAAGCACCGGCUAACUUCGUG